rnacentral:rRNA from 1 species
UACCUGGUGGAUCCUGCCAGUUGUCAUAUGCUCGUCUCAAAGCCUAAGCCAUGCAUGUCUCAGUACAUACUUUACCAAAGUGAAACCGCGAAUGGCUCAUUACAUCAGUUAUGGUUCCUUAGAUCGUACGCAUCCUACUUGGAUACCUGUGGCAAUUCCAGAGCUAAUACAUGCUACAGGUGUCUCCGGCCGGGCAACCGGACGGGGUGCCGUUACCAUUCAAAAGACCAAACGGUCCGCUUCUGCGGCCGACUCAUUUGGUGACUCUAAGUAACCUCUAGGCAGAUCGCACGGCAAGCACCGGCGAGCGCAUCUAUCAAAUGUCUGCCUCAUCACACUGUGGAUGGUGGGUUAUUGGCCCACCCUGGUGAUUACGGGUAACGGGGAAUCAGGGUUCGAUUCCGGAGAGGGAGCCUGAGAAACGGCUACCACAUCUAUGGAAGGCAGCAGGCACGCAAAUUACCCACUCCCGGCACGGGGAGGUAGUGACGAAAAAUAACGAUGCGGGACUCAUCCGAGGCCCCGUAAUCGGAAUGGAUCCACCCUAAACAGUUGGGUGAACCUAUCGGAGUGCAAGUCUGGUGCCAGCAGACGCCGGUAAGUCCAGCUCCGAUAGGCGUAUACUAAAGUUGCUGCGGUUAAAAAGCUCGUAGUUGGAUCUGGGUCUCGGGCGGUCGGUUCGCCGUCAGCGUGUCAACUGGCCGUACCGGACGUCUUCUCGGUUUCCCCGGUCUGCUCUUCACCGAGUGGACCGGGGGAUUCCGGGACGUUUACUUUGAACAAAUUAAAGUGCUCAAAGCAGGCUAUUCGCCUGGAUGCUGGUUGCAUGGAAUAAUGGAACAGGACCUCGGUUCUCUCUGUUGGUUUUCGAACCAGAGGUAAUGAUUAAAAGGGAUUGACGGGGGCUUGAGUAUUGCGAGGGGAGAGGUGAAAUUCUAGGAUCCUCGCAAGACUACCUACAGCGAAAGCAUUUGCCAAGAAUGUCUUCAUUAAUCAAGAACGAAAGUUAGAGGUUCGAAGGCGAUUAGAUACCGCCCUAGUUCUAACCAUAAACGAUGCCAUCCAGCGAUGCGCAAGGUUCAAGAACACCGUGCGCGCAGCCCCGGAAACCUGAGAUUUCGGGUUCCGGGGGGAGUAUGGUUGCAAAGCUGAAACUUAAAGGAAUUGACGGAAGGGCACCACAAGGCGUGGGACGUGCGGCUCAACUUGACUCAACACGGCAAACUUACCAGGCCCGGACACCGCAAGGAUUGACAGAUUGAGAGCUCUCUCGUGAUUCGUUGGAUGGUGGUGCAUGGCCGAUUUUAGUUGGUGGAGCGAUUUGUCUGCUUGAUUGCGAUAACGAACGAGACUCCUCCUAUUAACUAGGCGUCGGGGUAUGUGUUCCCCCGGCGCAUCAAACCUCUUCUUAGAGGGACCGGUUGUCGCAAGCAGCAAGAGUGGGAGCUAAAUCAGGUCAGUGAUGCCCUUCGAUGCCCUGGGCCGCACGCGCGUCACACUGAAGGAGACAACGCGUCUUCCCCUGCCGAGAGGUACGGGUAACCGCUGAACCUCCUUCGUGAUAGGGACCGGGGAUUGCAAUUAUUCCCCGCGAACGAGGAAUGCCCAGUAAGCGCGAGUCAUCAGCUCGCGUUGAUCGAGUCCCUGCCCUUUGUGCACACCGCCCGUCGAUGCAUCCGAUCGAGUGAUACGGUGAGGCCUUUGGACCGGCGCCUGCGGGGGUUCCACCUUCCGCAGGAACCGUCGGGAAGACGGCCGAACCUGGUCACUUAGAGGAAGCAAAAGUCGUAACAAGGUUUGGGUAGGUGAACCUGCAGAAGGAUCAUUA